CGAACUGCGAUAAGUGAUGUGAAUUGCAGACGUAUACGAAUCAUCGAACCCUUGAACGCAUUCUGCGCCUCGAAGCUGUCUUCGAGGCAUAUCUGGGUGAGUGUCGGUUUAACCUCCUUGCAUAAAACCUUUUAUGCAGUUGUUUGAUAGUAGAUUUCUAAUCUCCUCCACCAAAAGGAACAAGAAAUUUUCUAUUAAAAUGAAUCCGAUACUCUAGAUUAGGAUUGCUCUUAUGGCUAACCCUCUAGAUUGAUUAGGAGUACUUUGUUACUACCUCAACUCUAUGGUUUUUUCCAUAAUUCAGCUUUAAUUCCUUAAUCGAAGAAGGUCAAUAUUAAUCUCUUGUUUGAAAUUAAUUUCAACCUUCGACCUCACCUAGGUAAGACUACCCGCUGAAUUUAAGC
rnacentral:misc_RNA from 1 species